ensembl:lncRNA
AUUUAAAUGGAUAUUUUAAUAACUAAGCUACAGAGGUGGACAAAGUACACAACUUCCUUACUUGAGUAAAAGUACAGAUACUACUGGUCAAAUAUUACUCCAUUACAAGUAAAAGUUGUAAGGACCGAUUUGUCCUUAAGUUAAAGUAUAGAAGUCUCCUUGUGUUUUUUUCCAUGUAGGAAAAUGGUGAAAACUAAUAUGAUUCACGAGGCGUUUGCCCUGUCGAUCAUGAGACCGAUUACAGCAGUUCACAAUACAGCAAUACUGAACCAUUUUUCAAGAAAUAACCAAAAUUAAUGACCAAAUGACCAAUGUUACCUACUGCCUACUAUACGGUACUAUACAGUACAUCUACUUCCGUACCACGAUUCCCACAAUGCAUUGCGACGUGACGUAACGAUCCCGACCUCUAUAUGAGCGUGAGUAAGCUCAGACAGUUGGAAGCUCCAUAAUGAAAGCGCCCUUUGCUUGGUUUUUACGUCAUUCGCAGUUUGAAGAAAAGUUUAAAAGUUCCGUCCACGUAUACUGUUUCAGGAAUGACAAACGCAACUGUAAAAAAUUAUGAAUGAAUCCGCCAAAUUGAUCCGCGACUGAGUGUUAACUGUAGCAAUGGACGGGACGAACUAUCUGACAAGCUGAUGUCAAAACAGAGCUGUGCUUUAAGUGAUGCAAAGUAAAUUCAGAGUAACAAAACUACAGCAGCAACAAGUCUGUGUUGCCUUUAGCAGCUUCUACAGUGAUAUGACGGAGGGCCAGGGACCCCUGCAUGACUCUCUUAUCUCCUCUCUCCAGCUGCAUCCUGGUGGGGAGAGGCAUUCUGGGAGAAGGAUCCUGUUUGGGCUGAACCUGGGGAGGGAGCUUAUUGCUCAAAUGGGAGACCUGGAAAUGAACAUGUUCAAAGUCCAACAUCUCAGACUGAAAGAAAGGCUGGAUACUUUUAGUUGGGGUCGUGCUGCGAUUUGUGCAGGAAUUUGACUGUAGAUUGUUGUGAGCAAAGGUCAACCAUUUCCAGAGCCUAUUUUUGGAUGGCUAUGAAAUGAAAUGAGAAAUUGGCCUUUUCAUGGAGAUAUGUUGUAAUUAGAAAGAAAGAAAGAAAGAAAGAAAGAAAGAAAGAAAGAAAGAAAGAAAGAAAGAAAGAAAGAAAAGAAAAUGUAAAUUAGCAACAAUAGCAGUUUAUUAAUAAAAAAUAAAUAAUAGGCCCUACAUCUUCUUCAUCAGUUUUAUUUUAAAAUCCAUGAACCCAAAAUGUAAAUUCUGUCAUCAUUUACUUACUCUCAUGUUAUUCCAAACAUAGAUUACUUUCUCUCUUCUGAAGAUAUUUUGCAAAAUGUUUUUGUUGUUGUUGUUGUUGUUGUUUUCUUUUUUGUAAUUCUUAAAAAAUACCACUUUAAAACUAUUUUAUAAACAAUAUUUCUACAACAUAGGGUAUAUAUGAUUCAGUGGUGGCUGUUGAUUUUCAGAAGAUAGGAAGCAAUUAUUAAGUCGAAAUGUAUUCAUUCAUUCAUUCAUUCAUUCAUUCAUACAUUAAUUCAUUUGAAACAAAUAAUGCAGCCUUUGUGAGCAUAAUAGCCCUUUUUUUUUUUUUUUUUAGAAAUAUUCAAAUGCUGACCCCUGGUAAAAUAUAUUGCAUCGCUUCUGUCUUGAAACUGUAAUGUUAUCAUGUGAGUUGCCUUGAAUUCAUAUAUCAGGAAUUAGCUUAUACUUCACGUGCCUUUUUAGCAACAUCAGAAGCUUUCUCUGUCACAUUUCAUUUUUAUUUGUCUUUUAUUCCUCCACACAUGCAAUUACUACUGUCAAUUUCCAUUUAAGAUCAGCACUUUUCAAAUGAAGCAUUUUCUUCCAAAAGAAAAUAAAAAAUGAAAUGAUAAUUAAAUUCUGGCAGUGGUGCAGGCAUUGAAACAAAGGAUGCCCCUUCCCCAACAAACAGUUUUUCAAAGGCCCACCAAGAACAGAGAAAAAGUUAGCCUACCUAUUCAAAGAGGGGCUGAUGUUUUGAUGUUUUGUUCUUGUCACAAUGGCAAACAUCUCUAGGAACAUCAGAGAAGCAGUGCAUGUUUGCAACCCCCCUGAAAAAAUGAUAGAGGAACACUGUGUGAUAAUGAUUAGGAAAGGAUUGACAGAAACACUGCUAUGCUUUGUAUGCUUCGAUUCAAGAAAAUAUAAGGGAGAAAAACUCUUUGCUUUUACACCCUUCAUACACAGUCCCACACACAUAUACAGCUCUCUGGCCUUUGCCUUUAUUAAUGGGCCACGUGCAGUUACGGGCCAGUAGUGUGGGAAGCAAUUUAUGACAAAAAUAUAUAUAUAUAUAUAUAUAUAUAUAUAUAUAUAUACACACACACACACACACAUAUAUAUAUAGGGAGAGGCUAUAAAAUGGUGCAUGGAGAUUUCACAUUGAUUUCACAUGUUUGCCUGCUUGUUAUAAUCCUUAAAGGUAAACAUUAUUAUACUUAUUAUUAUGCUUCUAUGCAACUUGAAUCUGAAUUCAAACUCUAAAUGCAACCGUAAAUACUAAAUAAUUAAGUUGAAUCCGGUUACCACUUCUGUGUUGCUGUCAAAUUUAGCCCCUAUUGAUUUCCAUGCAAUUCGCUGAAUGUUUUUUUACUAAAGAAAAAAAAAAAAAAAAAUCUAUUGUAGCUUGUCAGGGACUAAAAAUAUAAAAUAUGAGAAAUUAUGAACAUUUAUGAAGAGUUACACUCUUUGUUUUAGUGGUCAAUUUGACCUGCAUAUUGUUUACUUUAAAAUUAACUACACAGACACAAAAUAAAAACCUUUCCUUGUUUCCACUUAUAUGCAAAUAACUGCAACUAAGAAUAAAUCUAACAUCAUCUAACAUUAUUUGUGUGGUAUAUAUUGCUGUAUGCACUGCCUUUUUGUUAUGUCUGGUUCUGAAAUCCUUGUGAGGGUAAAAUGUGUUUCAAAUUCUAACAAUUAUUUUUAGUGCAGCAACAGACUAGUAGUUGCGAUGCACUAAAAUAAAUAAAUAAAUAAAUAAAUAAAAUCAAAAACAUAUUUUCACAGACAUUUAUUUUUCCUGGGGUGUUUCAAAAGACGAGUCUCAAUUUCAAGUAAUCUUAACUUCAUAAGUUCUCAUGCAUUUCACUUACAGGCUACGAUUAAGUUUUUAAGUUUGAACAGCAUUUCCAAAACACAUCUACACAUCUAAGUGUAAAUAAGUAACAGGUUAAGGUGUUUUUUUUUUUUUAUUCAUUUACUAAUUUAUUUAUUUACUAAAACUCCUCUUCAUUACACAAUGCAUUUCUAUUCUUCCACUUCUCCUACUCUUUCUUUCCUUUUUAUGACAGUGAGCAUUAACACCCCCAUGUAAUUAGGGGUCCAAUUAAAAGGAUGUUUUUUUUUUUGUUUUUUUUUUGGCAAUUACACUGGAAAGACACUGUUGAUGGCAGAGAUAAUGAUCUUGAUUAUUCAUGAUAUAGGCCUAUCAUUCAGGACAUACUGAGCAGGAACUGAAAUCCUUUGCUGCGGGGCAUUCCUGCUUCAAUGCAAGUGGAGGUAAUUGUAAUAAAGCAGAUGUUUAAAAAGUAUUAUUUUUUAUAUAAGGCAUAUUAUAAUAAGGUGCCGAUUAUCUGUGCAUUAGCCCAGAUUGAAUUCAUAUCCUUUAACACUCCUUAAAAAACAUUUGGUGUAAUUGGCAUCUUCACUGAAUAAAUGUGGCUCCCUGCAUGUGUUUUAAAAGCUUGUGUCUUUUAUUGUCUCCUUCCUCUAAAGGAUCCAUAUUUAGAGUAUCAUAGAAUUUCACAGUAAAAUAAAUAAAUAAAUAAAUGACAUUUAUUUUUUAAAAGGAAUUAUAAGAAUAGUUAAAGAUCUAAUUCUCC